rnacentral:rRNA from 1 species
AUGUCAUACUUCCAAGAAAAGCUCAUACAUCUUUAUAAUUUAAUGACCUGUACCUGAAACCGACACAGGUAGGUUGGUAGAGAAUACCAAGGGGCGCGAGAGAACUCUCUCUAAGGAACUCGGCAAACUGGCCCCGUAACUUCGGAAGAAGGGGCACCCAUCCGUAACAAGGUGGGUCGCAGUGACCAGGCCCAGGCGACUGUUUACCAAAAACACAGGUCUCCGCAAAGUCGUAAGACAAUAUAUGGGGGCUGACGCCUGCCCAGUGCCGGAAGGUUAAGGAAGUUGGUUAUUUCGUAAGAAAAAAGCUGACGACCGAAGCCCCGGUGAACGGCGGUCGUAACUAUAACGAUCCUAAGGUAGCGAAAUUCAUUGUCGAGUAAGUUUCGACCUGCACGAAAGGCGUAACGAUCUGGGCGCUGUCUCGGAGAGAGGCUCGGUGAAAUAGACUUGUCCCGUGAAGAUGCGGACUACCUACACCUGGACAGAAAGACCCUAUGAAGCUUGACUGUAUCUUGGAAUUGGGUUUGGGCUUUUCUUGCGCAGCCUAGGUGGGAGGCUAUGAAGAUUACCUUCCGGGGUAAUUAGAGCCGUCAUUGAGAGACCACUCUGGAAGAGCUAGAAUCCUAAUGGGGAUCCUUGAAUCAGGACCCUUGACAGUUUCAGGUGGGCAGUUUAUUUGGGGCGAAUGCCUCCUAAAAGGUAACGGAGGCGUGCAAAGGUUCCCUCAGUCUGGACGGAAAUCAGACAUUGAGUGUAAAGGCAAAAGGGAGCUUGACUGCAAGACCUACAAGUCGAGCAGGGGCGAAAGCCGGCCUUAGUGAUCCGACGGUGCCGCGUGGAAGGGCCGUCGCUCAACGGAUAAAAGUUACUCUAGGGAUAACAGGCUGAUCUUCCCCAAGAGUUCACAUCGACGGGAAGGUUUGGCACCUCGAUGUCGGCUCAUCACAUCCUCGGUCUGUAGUAGGUCCGAAGGGUUGGGCUGUUCGCCCAUUAAAGUGGUACGUGAGCUGGGUUCAAAA